AGCCUGCCAACAUAUGCAUGCGCAAUGCGGCCCGCCUCCUCUGCGUGGUUACUUAGCGACCGCCGCCGCCGCCGCUUCAAAUUUAAACCCUCGCGGGCUGGAGUCUCCCGGCUGUCACUCAGCAAUUCCAAGCCUGAAACGCGGAAGAGAUCCUGCAACUUCUACUGGCUCGAGAACUCUGACUUUAAAUGACACCUCUUCUUUGCCACCUCAUCCCGCAGUUGAGCAUCUACCGGUCUGGUACCAGCGAUUACCCAAGGAAUUUGGAGGUGAAUGUGCAGCAGUUGCAGUUUAUUGGAGAAGACAGAGUAGAGGAGUGGACAACGUGAACCUGGCUCCCUUCCUGCACUCUGGGAGCCCUGAGCCACAGCAGCGCCCCAGAUUUGCAGAACCAAAAAGCAUCUCCUGACUAGAUAAUUGAGAUCAAAUGCGUGUAUUAUUUGUCCACAAACCUCCACCAACGAGAAGGUGCCUGCCAGUCUGUGAUCACCCAUCUUCUACAUAAACUGCUCCUACAUGAGCCUCUGGGGAAGAUUUUGAUAAUAAAGUUCUCUACCACCGCCUUGCCUCUUGACAAGCCCUAGUGGGAUUGGCAGACUGAGCCUUAAGUCGUAACAGGGGUAGGUGCAGAUUGCUGCCCUUAUUGCAUACCUUCCAAACUUAAAGGGGUUCCAAAUAUACCACUGUAGCAUAAAAUUAAUUUUGAAAACAUUAGUUGAGUACCAGUAAUUUUUCAUCCAUCUAAAAGCAGAGCCUCCUGAAAGAACUUGAAAAAGCUCAAGUAUCCUAAAUCCCUUUCUGGAGAGUGACCAGGGCAAGACAGGAGUGACCAGGGCAAGACAGCCCCCCAUUCCAUCUCUGGAGAGAUGUUGCAUCAUACUUAAGUAGACAUACCCACAA
rnacentral:lncRNA from 1 species